rnacentral:rRNA from 1 species
UACGGAGGGUGCAAGCGUUAUCCGGAUUCACUGGGUUUAAAGGGUGCGUAGGUGGGCUGGUAAGUCAGUGGUGAAAUCUCCGGGCUUAACUCGGAAACUGCCGUUGAUACUAUUUGUCUUGAAUACUUUGGAGGUAAGCGGAAUAUGUCAUGUAGCGGUGAAAUGCUUAGAUAUGACAUAGAACACCAAUUGCGAAGGCAGCUUACUACACAGAAAUUGACACUGAGGCACGAAAGCGUGGGGAUCAAACAGG